rnacentral:rRNA from 1 species
CAGUAGCGUAUAUUAAAGUUGUUGCAGUUAAAAUGCUCGUAGUUGAAGUUCGGAUGCAGCAGAGCUUGGAAACGCUGUUAUGGUGCUUCCGUUGCUUUUGCUUGUACACAGUGCGUUGCAAGUACGUAUGUGCUUGUGCGUGCAUUUUACUUUGAGAAACAUAGGGUGUUCCACGCAUGUUACGGCAUGAAUAUUCCAGCAUGGGAUAAUCUGGUACGACUUCCAAUCUGCCAUUUUGGUUCGUAGGUUGGAAGUAAUGAUUAAUAGGGACUGUCGGGGGCAUUGGUAUUUGACUGUCAGAGGUGAAAUUCUUAGAUUCGUUGAGGACCAACCACUGCGAAAGCAUUUGUCAAGGAUGUCUCCAUUAA